UGUGAACUGCAGGACACAUGAACAUCGACAUUUCGAACGCACAUUGCGGUCCUCGGAUACUGUUCCCGGACCACGUCUGGCUGAGGGUCGCGUCUGACUAUAAAAGACUGCUCGGUCCUCGUCUAACGAGGACGCGGAGCGAAUGUGGGAGUUCGCGGACGCCGUUACGACGGCGCCCGCGUCUCCUCAAAUAGCCCGCUCUCGUCGCGAGCGCGACGUGCCUCCCUAGGCCACAUACGUCAUGCGCAACCGUCGUGUCUUAAGAGUUUCGGACGCAGACGACGGUUGUGCGACGGGCCGCGCGGAGUACGCACGACGCACUCACACUCGCAUGCGAGCGAGGGGAUAUAGAAACACAGGCGACCUCAGAGCAGGCGAGAUUACCCCCUAAUUUUUAAGCAUUA
rnacentral:rRNA from 1 species